GGUAUGAUUGCUCCCGCCAGCGUCGUUUUUGCUUCAGCGCCGCAGCGUACGUACAAACGUGCAAAAAUACUUUUCAGAAUGCU
rfam:Raoultella ornithinolytica strain S12, complete genome.